rnacentral:rRNA from 1 species
AUUGAACGCUGGCGGCAUGCCUUACACAUGCAAGUCGAACGGUAACGGGCCUUCGGGUGCCGACGAGUGGCGAACGGGUGAGUAAUGCAUCGGAACGUACCUUUCAGUGGGGGAUAACGUAGCGAAAGUUACGCUAAUACCGCAUAUUCUGUGCGCAGGAAAGCAGGGGAUCGCAAUACCUUGCGCUGAUUGAGCGGCCGAGUUAGGAUCAGCUAGUUGGGGAGGUAAAGGCUAACCAAGGCGACGAUCUGUAGCGGGUCUGAGAGGAUGAUCCGCCACACUGGAACUGAGACACGGUCCAGACUCCUACGGGAGGCAGCAGUGGGGAAUUUUGGACAAUGGGGGCAACCCUGAUCCAGCCAUGCCGCGUGAGUGAAGAAGGCCUUCGGGUUGUAAAGCUCUUUCGGCCGGGAAGAAAUCGCAUGGGUUAAUACCCUGUGCGGAUGACGGUACCGGCAUAAGAAGCACCGGCUAACUACGUGCCAGCCGCCGCCGUAAUAC